ACAUGUCUUUUUGAGGAAAAUUUAAAGUCGGGCCUGCCCACUGAGUAAUUAAAGGGCCGCGGUAUCUUGACCGUGCAAAGGUAGCAUAAUCAUUAGUCUUUUUAUUGAAGGCUGGAAUGAAUGGUUUGACGAAGUAUUAACUGUCUCUAUAUAAGUAAUAUAAUUUAACUUUUGAGUCAAAAGGCUUAAAUAUAAGUGGAGGACGAGAAGACCCUAUAGAGUUUUAUAUAAUAUUAUAGAUAUUUUUAUUUGGGUUGUAGUAAUUUAUGUUUAUAAUUUAUAUUGUGUUGGGGUGACAUAAAGAUAAUCAUAACUCUUUAUUUAUUAGUACAUUGAUUUAUGGUUAAUUGAUCCAUUAUUAGUGAUUAUAAGAUAAAUUACCUUAGGGAUAACAGCGUAAUUUUUCUUGAGAGUUCGUAUCGACAGAAAAGUUUGCGACCUCGAUGUUGGACUAAGAAAAUGAUUUGAUGUAGCAGUUAGAUUAAUAAGUCUGUUCGACUUUUAAAUUCUUAC
rnacentral:rRNA from 1 species